UGAGCUCUUCAAAGGCUCCAGCAGUGACGACUGCCGGCUGGGGCUCUGGCACUUCUGAUGAUUCCUCUUGAGGAAUAGGGAUAUCCUCAGGAGGGGGUUGGUUUGGAGCGGAUGAGCUUGCUGGUGGAAGACCUGAACGUGUGUUUACCAUGGCUUUUGGUAGCGUUUCCCACAGACGGCGCCAAUGAUGCUACCAAAAAUCGUACCUG
rnacentral:lncRNA from 1 species